AAACCAUGUAUCGGGAAUUUGUACAACAAAUCCUUAAAAUGCUCCCAAGCUUCAUAUAAGUUCUCAUCAUCUAUUUUAUUGACUGCUGAAAGAUCAUUUCUCAACUU